rnacentral:rRNA from 1 species
AACGCGAAGAACCUUACCUGGGCUCGAAAUGUACAGGAAUCCGGUAGAAAUAUCGGCGUCUCGCAAGAGACCUGUAUAUAGGUGCUGCAUGGCUGUCGUCAGCUCGUGUCGUGAGAUGUUGGGUUAAGUCCCGCAACGAGCGCAACCCUUACCUACAGUUGCCACCCGCAAGGGGGAACUCUGUCGGAACCGCCUCGGAUAACGGGGAGGAAGGUGGGGAUGACGUCAAGUCCUCAUGGCCUUUAUGUCCAGGGCUACACACGUGCUACAAUGGCCGGUACAAACCGCUGCAACCCCGCGAGGGUGAGCUAAUCGGAAAAAGCCGGCCUCAGUUCGGAUUGGAGUCUGCAACUCGACUCCAUGAAGCUGGAAUCGCUAGUAAUCGUGGAUCAGCAUGCCACGGUGAAUACGUUCCCGGGCCUUGUA